UGGGGAAUAUUGGACAAUGGGGGCAACCCUGAUCCAGCAAUGCCGCGUGUGUGAAGAAGGUCUUCGGAUUGUAAAGCACUUUCGACGGGGACGAUGAUGACGGUACCCGUAGAAGAAGCCCCGGCUAACUUCGUGCCAGCAGCCGCGGUAAUACGAAGGGGGCUAGCGUUGCUCGGAAUGACUGGGCGUAAAGGGCGUGUAGGCGGUUUACACAGUCAGAUGUGAAAUCCCCCGGGCUUAACCUGGGAGCUGCAUUU
rnacentral:rRNA from 1 species